CUUUCCUGUACGCACGGACAACAAUAAUAAAAAAACGUGCACAGACGACCCAGUUCGCAUCGCGCACGGACGGCUCAGAUUGAAUCGCGCACGAACGGCUCAAAUUGAAUCGCGAUGAACGGUCCAGAUUCAUUUCUUAUUUAAUCGCGAUCAGACAGUCUAGAUUAAAUGCGAUGGACGACUCAGAUCAAAAGCAGAUGCUUAUAAAUAAUCUCAUCCGCACCCAAACCCAAACCCUAGUCACCAGAGCCCCUCGCCGGAAAAGAUAGCCCAGCCGCCUGGGAGUUAACUACCGUCCACCGCCGCCGCACUGGAGCAAUUUUCGGUCGCCAAACGAGGU
rnacentral:lncRNA from 1 species